rnacentral:rRNA from 1 species
UACGUAGGGUGCAAGCGUUAGUCGGAAUUACUGGGCGUAAAGGGUGCGUAGGCUGGGAUGUAAGUCAGAUGUGAAAAACCGAAGCUCAACUUCGGCAGUGCAUCUGAAACUGCAUUUCUAGAGGAAUAGCGGAGAAAACGGAAUUCCACGUGUAGCGGUGAAAUGCGUAGAUAUGUGGAAGAACACCUGUGGCGAAAGCGGUUUUCUAGCUUAAACCUGACGCUGAGGCACGAAAGCAAGGGGAGCAAACAGG